UUCAGAACAUAUCGUGCAGUACAGUGAGAAAAAUGAGCCAAGCACUAGUGCGGAACACAAUAUUUCGAGCUCGGAGUCAAGCUCGGAAUCAGCGAGCCUACAUAACGAUGAAGAAUUAAUGAGAGACAAUUUAACCAACGCUCUCAUUUAUUGCAAGAGUUUGCUAAAAGCAGAAAAUUUACUAACGGACACAUCGUCAAAAGAAGUCUCAGCUGUUUCCAUCGCUAUGAGCGAAGAAAUCUUUAAAGAGAUAGUAUGUAUGUUGCAAGAGCGCACAAUUAUUCAUGAUGAAGAUUUAAUACUACAGGAAGAGACUGAUGUUAUGAAUAUAGAAGAAUAUACGGAGUGUAUACUUAGAGAGAGUCCAGCAUACGAGCCAGAAAUACAUCUCCCUCGCGAUUAUAAGUAUAUUUCGUUAGCUUAUAAAGAAAAAGUGGUUGCAUUAGCGGAAAUGCAUUCAAAAUGAAGCAUAAAAAAUUUACAAAAGAAAGGUUGCUAUAAAUUAAAAAAUCACAGAAUGUUACGUAUAUGGAAAGAUGACGUGAAACGAGGAGAAACAUCAGUUGAUAAAUGGAAAUACAUANAAACGCAGACAUUCGAACACUUUCAAGAAGCAAGAGAGUGUUUUGAGCAGAUAAUUACGAGAACUCUGCAGCAGUGGGCAAUGGCGAUAGCGUUUCCGUUUAUCACUGAACANUUCUCCUUCUCUGCCAGCGAUAGUUGGACUGACCGAUUUAAAAAAAUAUAUAAAAUUAGACAACGAAAAAUAACAAAAUAUGUGAGUAAGAGAGACUGUGCAUUUUUGGAGGAAACGUUAGAAUCCGCACAACGGUUUCAAAUACAAACGAAGGCAAUUAUGUCCGAGUUUAAUUUAGAUCUGGUUAUUAAUACGGAUUAGACAGAAUGUCAGUAUCAAAUGACUUAUGAUAGAACGCUUGCACCACAAGGAUCAAAAACCGUUCUUGUCAAAAAAAAAGUCUGCAUAAUCUUUCGCAUUUAUACACAGCACAAUAUUCUAUUACUGCUUCGGGAAAGAUAUUACCUGUAGUAUUUUUAUG